UUCAUACUGAUUCCUUUGUAGGUGUGCUAUGUGUCGUGAUGGCCAGCCUGCUUCACAUUCACCUGAUUUGCGAUGUUCAUCUUGAGAUUCUAAGUGAUUGCUCUGAUAGAGGAACUGCUUGAAACUGCGAAGCAAAAUGAGAUUUCUGGAUCAGAUAUUGGGGCUAGUAUUAGUGCACCCGCUGCUCAAUUGAAGG